UUGAACGCUGGCGGCAUGCUUUACACAUGCAAGUCGAACGGUAACAGGGAGCUUGCUCCGCUGACGAGUGGCGAACGGGUGAGUAAUGCAUCGGAACAUGCCCAGUCAGUGGGGGAUAACUACGCGAAAGCGUAGCUAAUACCGCAUACGCCCUGGAGGGGAAAGUGGGGGAUCUUAGGACCUCACGUGAUUGGAGUGGCCGAUGUCAGAUUAGCUAGUUGGUGAGGUAAAGGCUCACCAAGGCGACGAUCUGUAGCGGGUCUGAGAGGAUGAUCCGCCACACUGGGACUGAGACACGGCCCAGACUCCUACGGGAGGCAGCAGUGGGGAAUUUUGGACAAUGGGCGCAAGCCUGAUCCAGCCAUGCCGCGUGAGUGAAGAAGGCCUUCGGGUUGUAAAGCUCUUUCGCAAGGGAAGAAAACGGCAAGGUUAAUACCUUUGUCGGCUGACGGUACCUUGACAAGAAGCACCGGCUAACUACGUG
rnacentral:rRNA from 1 species